UCGCAGAUCAGAAUGCUGCGGUGAAUACGUUCCCGGGUCUUGUACACACCGCCCGUCACACCAUGGGAGUCAGUAACGCCCGAAGUCAGUGACCUAACCGCAAGGGAGGAGCUGCCGAAGGCGGGGACCGAUAACUGGGGUGAAGUCGUAACAAGGUAAC
rnacentral:rRNA from 1 species